AGGGUGACUGAUCUGGGAACAGAGCACAGAUUUGUUUUGUUUUACAGACAGGGUUUUGCUUUUUUUGCACAGCUUAUUGUCCAACUCCUGGGCUCCAGCGAUCCCCUUGCCUGAACCUCUGAGUAGCUGAGAGUACAGAUGGGUGCCACCCUGCCCAGGUAGAAGAUGGAAGCCACACUUGGAUGUCCAGGAAGCCGUGUGGUGAAGAGGGGCAGAGCCAGAACUCCUGGACCCCACCCAGUUCUCGCUUCCCACCUUCCAUAGCCCAGCUCUGAGAGGCUGCUUCAGUCUGGUUUCUGCACUGUGACCUCUAAUUGCCAUGUCUCCUCAGCCCCACCUGCUGCCUCAGUCAUCCAGCCAGAAGAGGCAAACGGGUGAUCAUUGGAAUUCAAAGAAGAUGAAUGGAUAUGCCAGAGUUUUCUGACUCGACCCAGAGUGUAGAACCCAGGAUUCAGCCUGUCUUCUGUCCAGAAAAGAAAAGAGGUGCCAUCUUCAGAUUCAGAAGUGGAGGUGGAAAUUGUCAGGGUUUUGACUUGACCUGGAAGGUAGGACUCCCAGCCUUCAUACUGUCCUCUGUCCAAAAGAGGAAAGAGGAGUCGUCAUCUGAUUCUGAGGAGGAGAUGGAAGUGGAGUUGUCAGUUUUGUGACUCCACUGAGGGGGUAGAUCCCAGUCUUCAGAACUAGUCCUCUAUCCUGAAGGAGAAAGGGAAGCAGUCAUCAGAUCCAGAGAAGCUGGAAGUGGAUCUGUCCAAGUUUUCUGACUCCAUACAGAGGGUAGAACUUGGGCUUCAACUUCAGUGCUCUGGCCAGAAGAAGAGGAAGUGGUCAUCAGAUUCUGAGGAGGAUCUAGAGGAUCUGGAUCUUGAGCCUAAGUACCUCUGGGUUGUGGAGACACUGUGGCCUGAAGACGAAGCUGAAGAGACAGCGUGUGUACUCAGUGCUACCAGAGCACCAUGAAGUCUUCACCAGGCUGGUAGGCAGGGAGACCUCAUUUAGUUCCUUCCAGAGCUUUUUACACUAAACAGGAGCAGGCAUAUGGGGAGACAGUUGGGGGUUAGGGUAGGGAUCAGGCACCUGAGCUCCUGGGUCAUGAUGCUGAUAUGUUAGUGAUGUUUGUGUCAUGGUUAAGUUCCAAUGGAAUAACUGGCAGGGACCACGGUGUGAAUUAACUCUAGAGUGCUAUUUUCCAGGUGUGUUCUGCUCCACCAGCAGAAUUACCUCAAGUCCUUGCUAUGAAGCAGAACUCUGGGCCUGACCUUGGGUGUAUGAAAUGAUUUUUGGAGUAGGGGUCAAUAAAGUCUGAGGAUCAGAACCAAAAAUAAGGGCUGGGGUUGUGGCUCAAUGAUAGAGCACUUGCCUGGCAUUUGUGAGGCACUGGGUUUGAUCCU